CGUUCUAGGUAAUUGACCCUUCUCCUUAAAACAUACUUUGAAGAUUUUGAAUGACAUUUUAUUAGAGUAGUUUCCAAAUGCUACCUUACCUAUUUUCCUUUUUUGUUGUUUCUACUAGGUUUAAACUAAAAGGAGAAAUAGCUAUAAAAAUUGUCCUUUAUAUUCUUUGUCAGGCCUUCUGCUCGGUCAAAUCUGAGUUAUGGUAGUUGCUAUAAAUGUCUAGGUUUCAGCUUAAUAUUUGCAUUACAUGCCCGGAGAACUAAUGUUAUGCUUGUACUAAAUUGGAAAAUAACUGGCUACAUUCGUGUGAUGUUUUAUGAAUUUAUUUUUUAAUAAUUCAUGUGUUGUUUCAUUCCUUGGAAUACACUUUCCCCUGAUUUAUUACUCCUGAAGAUGGUUCCAUUUGAAUGCGUGAAAUUACAAAAGCUCAAGAUUGUAGUUUUAGUCAUAGGUCAACCAGGGCACUAUUUCUAAUGAAGGUCAUGUUUCUAUAUGGUUUUUACCGUUCGGUGGUACAUUUAGAUAGUUAGCAUCGUCCGUUGACUAUGUGUUUUGUACCCUGUUGUUCCAGGGUGAGAUUUCCUGUGAUUUUGUGGAAGUAGAUGAUUGAUAGAUACUCGGAGGAGGUAAUUGAUAGAUAUAGACGUCGUGGUUCCUAAUUCUUCAUGUACUAUUUUUCUUCCAGUUUUCUUUUAAUUACAAGCUACCUCUGCCAUUGUAGUCAUUUCUUUAUUUCAUACCAGUCUCUGUUGACUACUAUGUAACCAUGCAUGGGUAGCUUAAAUGGCAUAAGUUCUUAUUCAGUUAGAAAAAGGCAACAAAAACAACCAGGGUAAUCUUGCUCUAGAAAUUGCAUGACAUGUGCUUAUUCUCAUUUGUACAUAUGUGCGAGUUGAGUUCAAGAAAUUCUUGCAAAUGCAUUUUUUGGAUAACAGUCAUCAGCACAUAACCAUUUACUGAUUUAUAUUAAACCCUAUGGAAGCCAAGAUAUAUUCCAGGUUUAGGUUCAUGUCCAAUAUAUCUCAUUUCACGGAAUAUAGAUUUGCUUGGAAGCUAUAUCCUCCCAUGGUCCAUUGUUUUAUGCAUUGUUCAUGUUAACUUGGCUAAGAAGUGUUCAGGGAAGCUUUGAGUUUUGGUUGUUUCAAAAUAAACACAUCAAAGAAGAUGUUAUAUACCUUUUGCCAUUUAGCGGUGCUUAGGGAGUGAACAAGAUCCACUCUAAAAAGCUCCAGCAUCUGUCAACAAAGUUACCAGUGCAAAGCAGAUGGAAAAGAAUAAGGCAUCAAAGAAUGUUGUGCAUGUGCCUCUGCUUCCUCCUGCUACUAAUGAGGUCACAGAUCCAGUUGUUGAUCCUAAAACACAGGAUGUUGGUGGGGUUACUUUAAGGUGCUUGCCCUUUUCCAGAUAUUUUGAAUCAGCUGUUAUGUUUGUUGAUGCGAUUCCAUUCUGUUGUGUUCAACUGUUGGUUGUUUUUGAAGGGGUGUUGAUGCAGAGGAGGGAGGCGAGGAUCCUAGUGCCAGAAAAAGGCAUAAG